GCCUGCGUGGCGCAAAGGUUAAAGCGCUUGACUACUAACCAAAAUGUUGGUGGUUCAUACCCACCCAUUGGCG
rnacentral:tRNA from 1 species